rnacentral:rRNA from 1 species
UACGUGGGGAGCAAGCGUUGUUCGGAUUUACUGGGCGUAAAGGGCGCGUAGGCGGCGUGACAAGUCACUUGUGAAAUCUCCGGGCUUAACCCGGAGCGGUCAAGUGAUACUGUCGUGCUAGAGUGCGGAAGGGGCUACUGGAAUUCUCGGUGUAGCGGUGAAACGCGUAGAUAUCGAGAGGAACACCUGCGGCGAAGGCGGGUAGCUGGGCCGACACUGACGCUGAUGCGCGAAAGCCAGGGGAGCGAGCGGG